rnacentral:rRNA from 1 species
AUUGAACGCUGGCGGCAGGCCUAACACAUGCAAGUCGAGCGAGCGGCGGACGGGUGAGUAAUGUAUGGGGACUGCCCGAUAGAGGGGGAUAACUACUGGAAACGGUAGCUAAUACCGCAUACUAUCGGAUAACCCAUAUGGGAUUAGCUAGUAGGUGAGGUAAUGGCGCACCUAGGAGACGAUCCCUAGCUGGUCUGAGAGGAGGAUCAGCCACCCGGGUCGUGAGACACGGCCCAGACGCCUGCGGAGGCAGCAUUGGGGAAUAGUGCACAAUGGGCUCAAGCCUGAUGCAGCCAUGCCGCGUGUAUGAAGAAGGCCCUAGGGUUGUAAAGUACUUUCAGUCGGGAGGCGUUACCGACAGAAGAAGCACCGGCUAACUCCGUGCCAGCAGCCGCGGUAAUAC